CCAGUGACUUUAACUUGUGGCCACAGUUAUUGUAUGAAAUGUUUAGAGGAUUGUCUACGUGGACAAGCGAAGACGAAGAAGGAUUGUCCCGAUUGCAGAGGAAAAAUUCGACCAGGUUUUAAACUGCAUAAAAAUGUUACACUUUGUAACAUCGUGAAUGUUCAUUACGAACAUAAACGUUUUGUAUCCACUGAAGAAUUUACAAAUGCACAUGAAAUGGAAGCGGACUUCAAAGAGGAUAAAGCUGAAGAAUGUGUGGCCUCACACUCACAACAGACUGAUAUCAACAGACAAUUUGAGCUGGGAAGUACUAUUCAACAGCAACAGAUGGAGGACCCUGUUGUMAUAAAUGACACAAGCUCAGAAGUGACAGAUGACAGGUGUCCUGAUGUCCCAGCCUCCCAUGAUGGUCGUGUUCAGGAGUUACCCAUCUCCCCUCCCUCAAAUGACAGACACAGGGCUGAAGGUAGACUGUAGAAUUUGUCCUAUUCUUGAGUCUCAUGUGAAUAUUACUCCUUAUAUUGUACUGAAUARUGUAAAUAUAAUGUGCUGUUUUCACCAAUCAACCACUAGAUGGGGUAGCCUAUAUACAGUAUAGCCAUUCAAAGACAUCUGUGUCAUUAGAGUACAUCAGAUACCAGUGGUGUAAAGUACUUGAAUACAAAUACUUUAAAGUACUACUUAAGUAGUUUUGG